GACAGAGGAUGCAAGCGUUAUCCGGAAUAAUUGGGCGUAAAGCGUCUGUAGGUGGCUUUUCAAGUCCGCCGUCAAAUCCCAGGGCUCAACCCUGGACAGGCGGUGGAAACUACCAAAGCUGGAGUACGGUAGGGGGCAGAGGGAAUUUCCGGGUGGAGCGGUGAAAUGCAUUGAGAUCGGAAAGAACACCAACGGCGAAAGCACUCAGCUGG
rnacentral:rRNA from 1 species